rnacentral:ribozyme from 14 species
GAAAGACAAAAAUGGAGUGUCGAAAUAAAGAAGACAUUUCCACAAAAGAAACAUAAAAUGAGCCCCCAAGAUGGGUUAUUUAUUGAGAAAAUUGUGACUUUUAUUUUUUGUAUUUCGUUUCCCUCUC